UACGGAGGGGGCUAGCGUUGUUCGGAAUUACUGGGCGUAAAGCGCACGUAGGCGGCUUUGUAAGUUAGAGGUGAAAGUCCGGGGCUCAACCCCGGAACUGCCUUUAAGACUGCAUCGCUUGAAUCCAGGAGAGGUGAGUGGAAUUCCGAGUGUAGAGGUGAAAUUCGUAGAUAUUCGGAAGAACACCAGUGGCGAAGGCGGCUCACUGGCCUGGUAUUGACGCUGAGGUGCGAAAGCGUGGGGAGCAAACAGG
rnacentral:rRNA from 1 species